CGCUCCUGCAAGUCUGCCUUGGGCCACAGGGAGGUCCGCCGCUUCAUUUCUGGCACUAGAAUGGAGGGGACCAUGGAAUGGGCAUCCUGGCUUGAGCACCUUAAUCGGGCUCUUCAUGCUGUCUUGCACACAGACAGCUCAGAAUAAGAGACCAGAUUCUGACGUUGUUUCGGUCGGGCUAAUCUGACAGACUUGCACGGCUCCUUUGGAGGGUAAAAUCUACUUGGGGGAACAGGGCAUGGGUACCUGAAAAGGGUAUCUUUGUGAAACUGAAUGGUACUAACCGUGACCCCACUACCACUGCCAUCAUUUAUAGAAUCUUUGUAAAGCCACUGUUCUGAAGCACUAGGUAUACUUUAGGCCCUUUAAUCCUAGCAACAACCCUCCUAAAGUAGGUACUACUAUCUUCUUUUCACAGAUAAAGAAGCGGAGUCUCAAACAGCCUCUCAAUGGCUUGAGAAAGUCACCCCCGUUCACAGAGGUGACUCUGAUCGCCAUCAAAAUAAGAGGAUUGAGAAUAUGAGGCAAACGACAAUGGUCCCUCCUCUGGGGGUUCGCUUUCUGCGGUUUCGGGUACCUGCAGCCAAGCCCGGUCGGAAAGCAGGUGAUCGAUCCUCCUCCUGACAAAUUGGCGGACGAUCCAUAGCGCCUAACGCCACGUCUCAGCGCCUUCCGUCGUCCACCUGCCUUCGUCUCAUUGUCUCAUCGCGUAGGCAUUUAAUCAUCUCACAUCACUGCAAGAAGGGCCUGCCCCAUGAGAACCCUGGAACAUCUGGUUGAUGUCUGCACCUGGAAAGGGCUGAAGCAACCGACUGGCAAAAUUCCUGCACACAUGACUCUCAGCAUGGAUAUAGAUGAGAAAACUAAAGCUCAGAGAGGUCAAGCAACUUUCCCAGGACCCCUCAGCUAGUUAGUGCAAGAACUGGAUAUGAAUCCACGUCUACCCAUGUAACUCCAGCGCCUUCCCCCUAAAUCAACCUUUUUUUCUGGAUUGCUUGUUGUUUUUUUUUUUUGUUUGUUUUCUUUUUGUUCAUUGUGGAGACCUGAAGAAGAAUCCUGUGGUCCUCGGUCCUGAAAAGGGUCUACCAGAAUUCAGAGGAUCUUGUGUCUCUUGCAUUCAAAGCCAUGGCUCCUGGCAGCUGGGACCUGGGCCUCACCACAUGCACCACGUGUCGCUGGCUUCCAGGUGCCAGGGGCUUGGGCCGAGGCCACACGGUUGGCUGCACGGGGCCCGGCCCCACCGCUGGCUGUCUGGAGUGAACGCCGGGGAGGGAUCCUCUCCGUCUGCCAGGCUGUUUUCCUCAUCCAUCUGCCUUGUUGGCUUUUAAUGCAAGCAGGAAACAAAACUGAAAAAAGAGGAAAUCGAUGCUUCACAGAAAAGGGACAACAUCUUCCUUUAGCCAGUGGGGGUCUGAGGAGGGGCGUGGUGACUAAGGUUUGCGGGGCGCUGUUACCCGCUGGUGAGGGGCUACAGAAGCCAGCUGCGGAUCAGGCUGUGCCACCGGUGCCUGCGAGUGGCUGAUGCGGAGGCCUCUUGGCGGCUGGGGGAGGCGGCACGAGCUGUCAGCUUCGAGCAGGAAGCCAACCCAGCCCGCGGCACCCGGAGGGCGAACAGUUGAAUGAAACACACACUUGGUGAGGAUGUUCGGCUUACAGAUGUCACUAAGCUGAAGCCGUGAUCGCUAGGAGCCAAUAAAUCGCGGCUUGCGGCAUUGGACCCCACCGACCUGACGCUCUCUUUCCUCACCUGCGGCCGAGAAGGGAUACGGGAUAAGCCGCUUCUUGGCCGCAAGUCCUGGGAAUACUAUUUUGUGUUUGGAAACUGCCAGAGAAGCACUGAUGAGCCAGCCCAUUGCGCCGAGUACGUUGGUCGCGGUGGGCUCCCUUCCGGUGACUGAGGCGGAAGCCAGGGAGAGCAUAAGUUCUGGCUGGCCGAGAGAAGCUACUUGCAGACGGCCACGGCCAGCACUCAGAAGUGGAAAACAUUGUUUUGGAGUCAAAGAGACGGGCCCCAGAGGCAGGCAGGAAGAGUAGCCGACUUAGCAACAUUGCCAGCUUCCACAAACCAGCCGAUGACCCAUGUGAGCCCAGAAUGGAAAAGACUGUCACAUGUUGGGUGCCUGGCCUGGACCUCACAUCAGGUGGUAUCGAUCCCAGAUUCGUCUCCUGAGGCCCUUCCAAUGCGCUUACCUACCUGGAGCCUCUCGCUGGGGCAGGCACAAAGAACAGGACCUAAGAAUUCCAUUUCUAAGAAUAAUUUUGUGUAAGGAAAACCUCCCAGUGAAAAUGGUCUGAUGAAAUGUGCUUAGUUUGGCUUUGGCCGAGCUCCUCGUCGUCCUAAACGAGUGCACAAAAACACGCACAAACAAUGUUUGCUACUGCCUGAAAAGUGUAACCCCGCAUUUACGGCAAAAGCAAUGGAGGAGAUUGAGAAGUGGAGACUGGCCCCUAAGAAGAGCUCCGCUUACAUAAAAGAGGAGGGCCGAAGGAGGUGUGGACUGCUGCCACCAAGCGGUGAGCCACGUAAGCCUGAUGGCUGCCAAGAGCCCUCACUUAUCCGGAACCCAGCCUGGUCCCUGGGGAAGGUGGACAGGAAGAGGAGGAAAGUGAAGAAGACGCCAGUGCCGCCAAAGUAACCGUUAGGAAAAGACGCGUCCUAAAGCCGCAUGUGCUUUUUAUUCGGAGAACGCCGCAUCGGGACCUCAUUCGUGCUGUUUUAAGGCCCGAUUCUAACAAGCUUAGUUUUCAAACCCUAUAGCACGUUAGAAUCAAGGAAUUAGCACGCGAAGAAAGCCAGUGAACACACUACAUAUUUAUUUUAGUCUUAACAAACACCAAUAGCAACCAACGCGACACUGGUUACGGACUCAAUUUUAAGGAUGAUGAAACAGGUUCAGAGAAGGUCAGCCAGUAAGUGAUCAAGUCUGUCUUCACAUUCAGGGUUCUGGCCUCAGAGCUCAUGUCUCUUCCUUCCCCCCCCCCCCCCUCGCCUUUCCAAAGACAGGCACGCUGAGAAGCAAGCCUCAAUGGCAGGACGAUGGCAGGACAGUGGCGGGGGACAGCAUGGAAUCAGUAUUGAAAAUUUGCUGCACCCUGGGAUGAUCCGGUAUAGAGGAAAAUGGCCUCCUUGGUUCCCAAAUGCGUCUAUUUUAGAGGAUAGUCGUCAUCGAUUUGCAUCAAUAUGUCCAAAUGCGUCAACUUUCUCGGUGUAAAGAGUAGGGAGAAAGAAUCCUGGGGGGGGGAUACAGGUUCAGGGGAUCCAGGCGUAGCUUUGCCUUUCACUGGCUGUGGGAGCUUAGCCACGUUACAUCACCUCAUCGCGCCUCUGUUUCCUCAUCUGAAAAAUUAACAUAAUUAUUCCGCCUACCUCAUGGAGCUGGUUCAGGAGGAUUCAAUGAGGCAAUUCGUAGAAAUAGUUAAAGCUGUACCUGACGCUUAGGAGGCAUGACUUAUGAAGCAUAGACGCUUUAGAGAGGUAAACGCUUACCUCCCGAAAGGACUAAAUCUGACUUCUUAUUUAAAUUGCUCAUCUGUCCAUGCAUUCAUUCAACACACAUUCACUAAGUCCAUAUUAUGAGCCAGCAGCGGGUGGCCACCAGGCAAACAAAUAUAAAUAAACUACCGCUCUUCGCCAGUAGGAGCUCAGACGUGUAAACAAAAAAUCUGCCGCGAUGAGGGAGGUGCUGGGAGAGCCUUUCUGCGGGAACACGGAUACGGGAACGUGCAGCCUCCUACCUCGCCCUGGAGGAGUCAGGAUGGCCACCCGGAAGUGAGGUUCCACAGAAGGUGAAGAGGGAAAGGGCAUUCCAAUGGAGGACACAGCAUGUUUAAGCAAAGACCCAAAUGGAGGAAGAGCAGAUCCCCUGUGGAGGAUACAGAACACGCUAAUAGAAGCCAGAUCUUUUUGGUUAGUUUUGAUUGAGCUUCAUGGAGUUAUAACUCUGACAGUGGUAUUUUCAUUAAGAGGAGAAUGGUUUACUGUCCAAACUGGAAAUGGUGUCUUCUUGUGUGGGAUUGCAGCUGGAAUAAAUGGAGUGAAGACGAACAGAAAAGCAGGUACCUGGCUCUUCUUCCUUAUUCUACACUUCUGAGUGAGUUCUGGUCCCUCCCAGCCUCAAUUUCCCCAUUGCUAUGGGAACUGAAAUCAAUCCUACGGCCCACACUGUCUCCUGCAAAUGAGCUGGAUGAGUGUUCACCACCCUGAGCCCUCCAAUAUCCAGCACUGUAAAUUUCAGUUGUAAUUGCCGGUAUUACUCAGACAAGGACAAGAAAUAUUUCCAGUUCUGGGAAGAGCAGGGCUAACAGCUGUAGCUGAACACGAGACGAGGGAGGAUGACAAACCACAGACGUGCCCAGCUCUUGGGUGCUCCGAAGGGAACCUGGGCAGAAAAUGGCGGCCCCCGUCAGGCAUUUAAAUCUGUGCUUGCUGAUUCAGUCACACAUACCGGUGGUUAAGGCUCCUGUCUGCGCACCAUCACAGAAAGGAUAGAGUUUCUUGACUCCUGUCAACUCACGUCCCACCUCAGAGGGCUGGCCCUCAGCACAGCGUUGGUCAAAACGUGACAUUCCCUGAGACAUUGGGAACUCCAAUGUUUAUCAUAUGUUCCAGCUUUGCUUCUUUGAUCAGAGAAGAUCCCCAAAGAGGGACUCAUCAACAGAUGAUUUUGCUCAUUCCUCGAUGAUAUAAAAUGCAAGACACAAACAUCUCAUAUGCCUUGUUUGUUCUACUGUUCAUGCAGCCAUUUUUGUAACCACAAGAAUCUUUUUUAGAAGAAUAGAUGGCUGGGUCUGAGGGUAGGACUGGGGGGUAGGAAAUUGUUGGGCUUCCAGAUAAUACACUGGUUAAUUAUGGGACCUCUUACAGUGUUUUGAGCUGGUUCAGUAGGAGAGAAACAGGGAUGAGUAUGCCCAAGUUUAGAAUUUAGAAUGGUGUAAGUUCAUUCCAAAGUGUGUAUGUGAGUAUAUAUGUGAACGUGUGUGUGUGAUCAUCUUUUUUUUUUAAGUUUAUUUAUUUAUUUUGAGGGAGAGGAAGAGAGAGC